rnacentral:misc_RNA from 1 species
GAAAUGCGAUAAGUAAUGUGAAUUGCAGAAUUCAGUGAAUCAUCGAAUCUUUGAACGCACCUUGCGCUCCUUGGUAUUCCGAGGAGCAUGCCUGUUUGAGUGUCAUGGAAUUCUCAACUCUAUUUGCUUUUGUGAAUAGAGCUUGGAUUUGGAGGUUUAUUGCUGGUACUUGUGAUCGGCUCCUCUUGAAUGCAUUAGCUCGAACCUUUGCGGAUCAGCUAUCGGUGUGAUAAUUGUCUACGCCGUUGCAGUGAAGCAUAUCAAUGGGCUCGGCUUCCAAUCGUCCUUUACUGGACAAUGACUUUGACCUUUGACCUCAAAUCAGGUAGGAUUACCCGCUGAACAUAAGC